AGCUUUAUAUUCAAAUAUGAUUUUAAAUUGCAAAUUUAAAAGUGGAGUUUCUCCUAAGGCUU
rnacentral:tRNA from 1 species